ensembl:lncRNA novel transcript
AGCCAGUGCCUGCGCGGCUUGCUCCAGCAAGGUAAAAUUUCCCACUGCGAGGCAGGCAGUGAUGCUGCGGCCGCUUCGCACUGUGGCUCCUGCCGACCGCCAGGCGCUGUUACAGUGGAUGCGAACUAACCAUGCAGCAGCAGCCGGAACCCACAGUUCACCUUGGUGCAUUCCUUUAUGAUGAAGACUUAUUGAUUCAUUAUAUGAGAAAGGAAAAAUGAGCAGAAACUACUGUAUGAUGUGCAGCUCACACCAGACAGCAACUUUAGGGUUAUCUUUCCAGUUCAGCAGUGCAACUCUAUGGAGUAGAAUUGAAAGGAGACUUUUCGCCAAUUGCAGGAAAUGGUCAUAAAAAAAUACCUGCUCACUGACAGAAUAAAGUCUCACUCUGUCACCUGGCUGGAGUUUAGUGACACGAUCUUAGCUCCCUGCAACCUCUGCCUCCUGAGUUCAAGUGAUUCUCCUACCUCAGCCUCCUGAGUAGCUGGAAUUACAGAGUAAUUUAUCCCUACUUACAGAGAGAUUGCCCUACGUGUAACAGCUGCAUACAAAAAAGUUAUAAAAUUAUCAUUGGUUUAACAAGGAUAAGUGAAAAACAUUAAAAUUCUCCAACUGAACAAGGUGUGUCUGUUUCAUUGAUUGGCUGACUGUCAAAUCGGAAUCUGAUCUGCCCCAUUGACAAUGCCUUGGGCUUUUCCUCGGCCAUGGCAAAUGCCAGAGUCUUCUCAGCUGCCGCUUCACAAAAGAGGUACCAGCUUCUCACUGAACGAACACAGUGCAGCACCAGGAGUGACAGAAGAAGGAGGCGGCAGCGGUGGUUGAGGGACAGGGUGCGUGCACGUCCAAGUACAGUUCUUAAAAUGUUGAGGGCAUACAACAUAUGCUCAAUAAAUACCUGAUUUUUAAAAAAGA